CAAUAAUAAGGAGAAAAUGAAGUACGUACAACAGAAAAAUAAUGUUUGAUCUUGGAUUAAUUGUUUGUAAAACAGAGAGAUUGAAGAUGAGGAGACUGCAACGUAAGUUGAUUAUUAUAAAUAUGUCUAGAUAGGAAGCUAUGUGUAAAUUGGAUGAAGGUCCACAUCGUUUUUUUUCUGUUAUUAAAUAUACCUAUAGCAGCCCUGUAUUCCUGGACGCAGUUAUCCAUUACAUGAAUAAACUGUUACAGGAAUUAGGAGAGGACUGCUGUAGGAGAACAUUACAAAACUGACACACAUAUCAUCAUUAUCAUCACCAC
rnacentral:lncRNA from 1 species